rnacentral:rRNA from 1 species
UGGGGAAUAUUGCACAAUGGGCGCAAGCCUGAUGCAGCCAUGCCGCGUGUAUGAAGAAGGCCUUCGGGUUGUAAAGUACUUUCAGUGGGGAGGAAGGCGAUGAAGUUAAUAGCUUCGUCGAUUGACGUUACCCGCAGAAGAAGCACCGGCUAACUCCGUGCCAGCAGCCGCGGUAAUACGGAGGGUGCAAGCGUUAAUCGGAAUUACUGGGCGUAAAGCGCACGCAGGCGGUCUGUCAAGUCGGAUGUGAAAUCCCCGGGCUCAACCUGGGAACUGCAUUCGAAACUGGCAGGCUAGAGUCUUGUAGAGGGGGGUAGAAUUCCAGGUGUAGCGGUGAAAUGCGUAGAGAUCUGGAGGAAUACCGGUGGCGAAGGCGGCCCCCUGGACAAAGACUGACGCUCAGGUGCGAAAGCGUGGGGAGCAAA